ensembl:snRNA U6 U6 spliceosomal RNA
GUGCUGUCUUGAAGCACUUGUACUAAACCUGAAUGACACAGAGGAGAUUAACAUAGUUCCCGCACAUGGGAGACAUCCAAAUUGGAGAUGCAUCCCAUAUUUUA